rnacentral:sRNA from 1 species
CCCACCAAGUUACGGGCGGCGGAGAGCGAUCUUGCCGUGAACUGGGGGAUUAGCUCAGCUGGGAGAGCACCUGCUUUGCAAGCAGGGGGUCGUCGGUUCGAUCCCGUCAUCCUCCACCAACACCUUGUGGUAGCCAAACGCAAGCAUCGAGAGAUCGGUGUUUGCGUUUGGCAUUGCCAAGACGAGUAGUAACUCGGCUGUUCUUUAACAAUAUGGAAUGUAGUAAAGGUGUCGCGGCGCGUUGAUGAGGCGCGCAAUUUAAACGCGACACUGGGUUGUGAUUGUAUCAACCAGUAUUACGAGUGAUCGAAAGACCGCUUGGAAUACGGCACAACGCGAGAACUCAGCCUAUAGCGAGACAUACUCGUUAUAGGGUCAAGCGAAUAAGUGCAUGUGGUGGAUGCCUUGGCGAUCACAGGCGAUGAAGGACGUAGUAGCUUGCGAAAAGCUGCGGGGAGCUGGCAAACGAGCUUUGAUCCGCAGAUGUCCGAAUGGGGAAACCCGGCCCGUAUGGGUCAUCCCUUGCUGAAUACAUAGGCAAGGGAGGCGAACGCAGUGAACUGAAACAUCUAAGUAGCUGCAGGAAAAGAAAUCAACCGAGAUUCCCAAAGUAGUGGCGAGCGAAAUGGGAACAGCCUUGUACUCUUUAGCAGUAUUGUUAGCGGAACGGAAUGGAAAGUCCGGCCAUAGUGGGUGAUAGCCCCGUACGCGAAAACAGUAUUGUGGAACUAGGUGUACGACAAGUAGGGCGGGACACGUGAAAUCCUGUCUGAAGAUGGGGGGACCAUCCUCCAAGGCUAAAUACUCGUGAUCGACCGAUAGUGAACCAGUACCGUGAGGGAAAGGCGAAAAGAACCCCGGGAGGGGAGUGAAAUAGAUCCUGAAACCGCAUGCAUACAAACAGUCGGAGCCUGGAAACGGGUGACGGCGUACCUUUUGUAUAAUGGGUCAGCGACUUACAUUCAGUGGCAAGCUUAACCGAUUAGGGAAGGCGUAGCGAAAGCGAGUCCGAAUAGGGCGUUCAGUCGCUGGGUGUAGACCCGAAACCAAGUGAUCUAUCCAUGGCCAGGUUGAAGGUGCGGUAACACGUACUGGAGGACCGAACCCACUAACGUUGAAAAGUUAGGGGAUGAGCUGUGGAUAGGGGUGAAAGGCUAAACAAACUUGGAAAUAGCUGGUUCUCUCCGAAAACUAUUUAGGUAGUGCCUCGUGUCUCACCUUCGGGGGUAGAGCACUGUCAUGGUUGGGGGGUCUAUUGCUGAUUACCCCGCCAUAGCAAACUCCGAAUACCGA